UCAUUACUCUGUGAGCCUGGACUCACAGAGCGAGUGGAGGAAGACGGCGCUCCCAGGGAGGGCAGGUAGGAGAUCUGAUGAGCGCUGACGGUGGCCUGGCGCAGAACGGUGGUUGCAGAGGAGUCUGUGAUUAAGACAACAAGCCAGUAAGCCGAUGACAUUGGCGUAGUAACAGUCUGCAUUUUGAGCAUCAAGCAUCACCACUGUUGCUGACACUAAAGGGAAAAAUCCCGUCCAGCCCUUCAGCAGAUACUCCGCUUCUCCCAGGACACCU